AACGAACGCUGGCGGCAGGCUUAACACAUGCAAGUCGAGCGCCCCGCAAGGGGAGUGGCAGACGGGUGAGUAACGCGUGGGAACAUACCCUUUUCUACGGGAUAGCUCUGGGAAACUGGAAUUAAUACCGUAUACGCCCUACGGGGGAAAGAUUUAUCGGGGAAGGAUUGGCCCGCGUUGGAUUAGCUAGUUGGUGGGGUAAAGGCCUACCAAGGCGACGAUCCAUAGCUGGUCUGAGAGGAUGAUCAGCAACAUUGGGACUGAGACACGGCCCAAACUCCUACGGGAGGCAGCAGUGGGGAAUAUUGGACAAUGGGCGCAAGCCUGAUCCAGCCAUGCCGCGUGAGUGAUGAAGGCCUUAGGGUUGUAAAGCUCUUUCACCGAUGAAGAUAAUGACGGUAGUCGGAGAAGAAGCCCCGGCUAACUUCGUGCCAGCCGCCGCCGUAAGAC
rnacentral:rRNA from 1 species